rnacentral:lncRNA from 1 species
CCCAUUGAGCCAUCUCUCCAGCCCUACAAGAUCUGGAAGACUGAUAGAAAGCAAUGUGACAGACAAGGUGGUUUCUGCAGUGUGGAUGCUCACUCGAUGCCUCAGGAACUUUUCAGCCCGAAUGUCAUUGGACCCACCUGUCAUCUGCCUCUGCCUUUUGCUGUCAGGCUAUCCAUGACUUUAAGGUAGGUCACCUUUCUUUGAUAUUCUGCCUCUUUAUAGGUU